rnacentral:rRNA from 1 species
GAGCGGUAACAGGUGUAGCAAUACAUGCUGACGAGCGGCGAACGGGUGAGUAAUGUUUCGGAAUCUGCCCAAUGGUGGGGAAUAACCAGCCGAAAGGUUGGCUAAUACCGCAUGAGCCCUACGGGGGAAAGCGGGGGAUCGUAAGACCUCGCGCCGAUGGAUGAGCCGAAACCGGAUUAGCUAGUUGGUAGGGUAACGGCCUACCAAGGCGACGAUCCGUAGCUGGUCUGAGAGGACGACCAGCCACACUGGGACUGAGACACGGCCCAGACUCCUACGGGAGGCAGCAGUGGGGAAUAUUGGACAAUGGGGGAAACCCUGAUCCAGCGACGCCGCGUGUGUGAAGAAGGCCUGCGGGUUGUAAAGCACUUUUAGUGGGGAUGAAAAGCUCAGGGCUAAUACCGCUGAGUCUUGACCUAACCCAAAGAAAAAGCACCGGCUAACUCUGUG